GCCUUCAUGGUGUAGUGGUCAAUACACUCGACGCGUAAUCGAGAGGUCUGUGGUUCGAUUCCCGGUGAGGGCA
rnacentral:tRNA from 1 species